ACCCAGGUAUUGCUUAGUAGCGGCGAGUGAAGCGGCAAAAGCUCAAAUUUGAAAUCUGGCACUUUCAGUGUCCGAGUUGUAAUUUGAAGAAGGUAUCUUUGGGUCUGGCUCUUGUCUAUGUUUCUUGGAACAGAACGUCACAGAGGGUGAGAAUCCCGUGCGAUGAGAUGACCCAGACCUAUGUAAAGUUCCUUCGAAGAGUCGAGUUGUUUGGGAAUGCAGCUCUAAGUGGGUGGUAAAUUCCAUCUAAAGCUAAAUAUUGGCGAGAGACCGAUAGCGAACAAGUACAGUGAUGGAAAGAUGAAAAGAACUUUGAAAAGAGAGUGAAAAAGUACGUGAAAUUGUUGAAAGGGAAGGGCUUGAGAUCAGACUUGGUAUUUUGUAUGUUACUCUCUCGGGGGUGGCCUCUACAGUUUACCGGGCCAGCAUCAGUUUGGGCGGUAGGAGAAUUGCAAAGAAAUGUGGCACUGCCUCGGUAGUGUGUUAUAGUCUUUGUCGAUACUGCCAGCCUAGACUGAGGACUGCGGCUUCGGCCUAGGAUGUUGGCAUAAUGAUCUUAAGUCGCCCGUCUUGAAACACGGACMA
rnacentral:rRNA from 1 species